AGUUUGAUCGUGGCUCAGGAUGAACGCUGGCGGCGUGCNUUAACACAUGCAAGUCGAACGGAAAGGCCCUGCUUGCGGGGUACUCGAGUGGCGAACGGGUGAGUAACACGUGGGUGAUCUGCCCUGUACUUCGGGAUAAGCUUGGGAAACUGGGUCUAAUACCGGAUAGGACUGGCCUUUAGUGUGGUUGGUGGAAAGCUUUUGCGGUAUGGGAUGAGCUCGCGGCCUAUCAGCUUGUUGGUGGGGUAAUGGCCUACCAAGGCGUCGACGGGUAGCCGGCCUGAGAGGGUGUACGGCCACAUUGGGACUGANAUACGGCCCAUACUCCUACGGGAGGCAGCAGUGGGGAAUAUUGCACAAUGGGCGCAAGCCUGAUGCAGCGACGCCGCGUGGGGGAUGACGGCCUUCGGGUUGUAAACUCCUUUCGCCAGGGACGAAGCGUUAUGUGACGGUACCUGGAUAAGAAGCACCGGCUAACUACGUGCCAGCAGCCGCGGUAAUACGUAGGGUGCGAGCGUUGUCCGGAAUUACUGGGCGUAAAGAGCUCGUAGGUGGUUUGUCGCGUCGUUGUGUGUAAGUCCACGGCUUAGACUUGUGGGACUGCAGGCGAUACGGGCAUAACUUGAGUGCUUGUAGGGCUAGACUGAGAAUUACCUGAGUGUAUGCCGGUGAAAAUGCGACAUGAUAUCAGGAGGAACACCGAUGGCUGAACGGCAGGUCUCUGGGCAGUAACUGAC
rnacentral:rRNA from 1 species